CACAGAGAUGUUGAGUAAUUGGCACAAUAUCAUAGGGCAAGAGGCAGAGCAAGUGAAAACUCGACUACAAGUUUGCCACUGGCUAGGUCCAGGCCAAGGAACCUCCAUGAAGGAUUGCAGGAGAGCUGUCUUGGAGUAUCUGGCUUCAACUUGGAUUCUAGGCAAGUUCUCUACAUGAAUAUGAAUCAAUGGAUCCUCCCAUAUCUGGCCAUCUACAUGGUACAAGAGGUCAGAACAGUGACUUUCACGUUUAUGGAAGAAAACAGUACCAUUCUGACUGCCCUUGUGAAGCCAGACAGCCCCUGACCCUUCUAUUUCCUAUUAGCAAGAGGGGAGCAAAGCAUAUGAUAGUGACUCCAGCAUGCUUGCCUCUGAACUCUACAAUGGGCUUGUCCAUCUUAGACGUGGCCAAGCAAUGUCUGUGUCCUCAGCCAGCAGGUCACUCUUCCCUGCUCUUCUGGAGGAAUCAGAGAUUAGGGGGCAGAGAAGCAAGUCGAUGGGGUGGAAACUCCCACCAUUGUCCUCUGGUGCAAAGAUCCUGAAGUCUAGACUCUAAGUGGGCAGUGUAUACUCAAGACCAAGAAGAGAAGUCAGAACUUGGUCAUAAAGUGGUUAUCAUCAGAUUCCUAAAAAGCCAUGAUUGAACAGAGACACGUCUGGUUGAGUGUGGGUCAGAGGUAGAACCCUGGCCAACGAACAUGGAGGAGCAGACUUGGUUUCUAGUCGUCAGACCAGUCCAGCAAUGGCAUGAGUUGUCUUGUGAGAAUCCCUCCAGAUCUUCCUAUUUACCCAUGUAUCUGACAUCAGGCGUUUAUAGCCACCAUUCAAGCGACCGCAGUGAGAGAGAAACAGGCAUCAGGCCACCUUACAGCCUGCUGCUUUAAUUAACAAGGCUCGUUCCUGCCCAGGUGUGUGGGCUACCAUAUAUGCAGCCAGCGGCUUGGACAAGGCUAAAAUCAAAACGAAUGUGUACGCUGUGUUUGGACAGAUGAGACCCCCACCUGCCACGCUGUGGAGUGACGCCUUUCAGGUUUGGAGGGAGCCGUUCCCCGCCAUAAAGCUGGAAGGCAGCAGUGAGCCCAUCAUCCACUUUUGGCAGGUUUGAGGAGUCCAGAUGUCCAUCAUGAAAUGGGUUAUUUAAUGUAUCUGUGGGCUGUUUGCAGAAUGGGAAUGCCUCCGUUUUUUGCAAACACCGAGUGUGCAAAUGCCAAAUGUGUUUGCCAUCAGCAUCAACUUGUGCAAGGGUACCAAAUGUGCAUAAAGGACUCUUUGUAUUCCAUCCGAUGCAAAUCAAACAUUUUGCAUUUCAAUUGAUGUCUACUUAAUUCUAUUUCUUACCCAGAAGCGGCUCCGUUAGGUCACCCUGCUAAACUCUGGUGUCCCUAUGGACUUCUCCCUAUGGGGCAGUUAUCAAACUUGACCGUCUCUGGAGCACUUGGAUGUGGCACGGUGCUGACCCUACUCACCUCCAUCCCAUCCCAUCCAAGCCUGCUUAGCUGAAAGGGACUGGAAGAAUAACCCUGGUUUAGAGGAGAUGCCUCCAAGAUAAGAUUCGGAGAAAAAUAAUUCUUUUUGCACACAAACCAAAGUAGGGGCAUUGUCAGACUCUCAACAUCAAAUGCAUUACUUAAUCCCAUUCCCUUAAAUCCGUACCUUUUAGCUGUGUGUGUGUGAAUGGGUGUGCAAGACUUAUACCUUUGAGACUGUGUUUAUAGAAGCUGAUUCACUUCCUAAGAGGGGAAAUGUAUAUAUGUACAUGUAUUCGGAAUACUGUGAGCAUUUUUAGGGCGGACUCAUGGACCUUCUAAAUGUCUAUGGAUUAAGAAACUGCUCCCUUUUCUAUGUAUGGUUCAAACCACAUCAAAAGUUUAUUAAGAUUGCUGAUAACCAUCUGAA